GUUUUCGUGGCCUAGUGGUUAGGGCGUCUGUCUUACAAAAGUGUCUAUGACCUUGGUGAACACAGAAGAUCGCCGGUUCAAUCCCGGCCGGAAACA